CGGUAAUACGGAGGGUGCGAGCGUUAAUCGGAAUUACUGGGCGUAAAGCGUCAUGCAGGUGGUUUGUUAAGUCAGAUGUGAAAGCCCGGGGCUUCAACCUCGGAAUUGCAUUUGAAACUGGCAAACUAGAGUACUGUAGAGGGGGUAGAAUUUCAGGUGUAGCGGUGAAAUGCGUAGAGAUCUGAAGGAAUACCGGUGGCGAAGGCGGCCCCCUGGACAGAUACUGACACUCAGAUGCGAAAGCGUGGGGAGCAAACAGGAUUAGAUACCCUGGUAG
rnacentral:rRNA from 1 species